rnacentral:rRNA from 1 species
GAUGAACGCUGGCGGCGUGCCUAAUACAUGCAAGUCGAGCGAACGGACGAGAAGCUUGCUUCUCUGAUGUUAGCGGCGGACGGGUGAGUAACACGUGGAUAACCUACCUAUAAGACUGGGUUAACUUCGGGAAACCGUAGCUAAUACCGGAUAAUAUUUUGAACCGCAUGGUUCAAAAGUGAAAGACGGUCUUGCUGUCACCUAUAGAUGGAUCCGCGCUGCAUUAGCUAGUUGGUAAGGUAACGGCUUACCAAGGCAACGAUGCAUAGCCGACCUGAGAGGGUGAUCGGCCACACUGGAACUGAGACACGGUCCAGACUCCUACGGGAGGCAGCAGUAGGGAAUCUUCCGCAAUGGGCGAAAGCCUGACGGAGCAACGCCGCGUGAGUGAUGAAGGUCUUCGGAUCGUAAAACUCUGUUAUUAGGGAAGAACAUAUGUGUAAGUAACUGUGCACAUCUUGACGGUACCUAAUCAGAAAGCCACGGCUAACUACGUG